CACCACCACCUAGAGGAGGAGAUCUAAUGGCCUAUGAUAGAAAAGGAAGACCUGGAGAACACUAUGAUGGCAUGGUUGGUUUCAGUGCUGAUGAAACUUGGGACUCUGCGAUAGAUACAUGGAGCCCAUCAGAAUGGCAGAUGGCAUAUGAACCACAGGGUGGCUCUGGAUAUGAUUAUUCCUAUGCAGGGGGUCGUGGCUCAUAUGGUGAUCUUGGUGGACCCAUUAUUACUACACAAGUAACUAUUCCCAAAGAUUUGGCUGGAUCUAUUAUUGGCAAAGGUGGUCAGCGGAUUAAACAAAUCCGUCAUGAAUCAGGAGCUUCUAUCAAAAUUGAUGAGCCCUUAGAAGGAUCCGAAGAUUGGAUCAUUACCAUUACAGGAACACAGGACCAGAUACAGAAUGUACAGUAUUUGCUGCAGAACAGUGUGAAACAGUAUGCAGAUGUUGAAGGAUUCUAAUGCAAGAUAUUUUUU